CCUACGGGAGGCAGCAGUGGGGAAUUUUGGACAAUGGGCGCAAGCCUGAUCCAGCCAUGCCGCGUGCAGGAUGAAGGCCUUCGGGUUGUAAACUGCUUUUGUACGGAACGAAAAGACUCUGGUUAAUACCUGGGGUUCAUGACGGUACCGUAAGAAUAAGCACCGGCUAACUACGUGCCAGCAGCCGCGGUAAUACGUAGGGUGCGAGCGUUAAUCGGAAUUACUGGGCGUAAAGCGUGCGCAGGCGGUUAUAUAAGACAGAUGUGAAAUCCCCGGGCUCAACCUGGGAACUGCAUUUGUGACUGUAUAGCUAGAGUACGGUAGAGGGGGAUGGAAUUCCGCGUGUAGCAGUGAAAUGCGUAGAUAUGCGGAGGAACACCGAUGGCGAAGGCAAUCCCCUGGACCUGUACUGACGCUCAUGCACGAAAGCGUGGGGAGCAAACAGGAUUAGAUACCCUGGUAGUCCACGCCCUAAACGAUGUCAACUGGUUGUUGGGUCUUCACUGACUCAGUAACGAAGCUAACGCGUGAAGUUGACCGCCUGGGGAGUACGGCCGCAAGGUUGAAACUCAAAUGAAAUUGACGG
rnacentral:rRNA from 1 species